rnacentral:lncRNA from 1 species
GAACAGUUUUUCAGCUAUCUGCAGCAAGAAAGCACCAUCCUUAAACUGGGAGUUGGGACCCCAAAUCCUUUAGGUCAUGUCAAAGCCAUCUCUGAACUCACCUUAUGGACAAUUGGCUUUAUUUCUUUCAGCAUUAUACCAAAGUAGCUUGAGAAGUGAAAUUUUCUUAAUCCUGACAUGAGCCUAACUUGAACCGAGAGUCUAGAAAGAAUGUGGAGAGACAUUUCUUCGUUCCCUCCCAGUGAUGACGCAAGAGUGGAUGGCCCAUUAUACUCAGAACCCUUGGCAUCCAAAUUGUCAGCAACUCAUCAGCUAGUGUUUCUUCCUUGAAGGGCGAAGUCUCAAUCCUCAAAUGUUCUAGGAGGUGAGUAGAAAUUUUUGCCUUCCAUCGUUUUAAUGUAGCAAAGCAAAAAACAGCUGAAAAGGGUAGUUCACGAAACUAUCAUAGCAUCUUAG